ensembl:rRNA 5S_rRNA 5S ribosomal RNA
GUCUACGGCCAUACCACCCUUAACAUGCCCGAUCUUGUCUGAUCUUGGAAACUAAGCAAGGUUGGGUCUGGUUGGUACCUGAAUGGGAGACA